CCUACGGGGGGCAGCAGUGGGGAAUAUUGGACAAUGGGCGAAAGCCUGAUCCAGCCAUGCCGCGUGUGUGAAGAAGGCCUUCGGGUUGUAAAGCACUUUCAGUGGGGAAGAAAGCCUUGGGGCUAAUACCCUCGAGGAAGGACAUCACCCACAGAAGAAGCACCGGCUAACUCCGUGCCAGCAGCCGCGGUAAUACGGAGGGUGCGAGCGUUAAUCGGAAUUACUGGGCGUAAAGCGCGCGUAGGCGGUCUGAUAAGCCGGUUGUGAAAGCCCCGGGCUCAACCUGGGAACGGCAUCCGGAACUGUCAGGCUAGAGUGCAGGAGAGGAAGGUAGAAUUCCCGGUGUAGCGGUGAAAUGUGUAGAGAUCGGGAGGAAUACCAGUGGCGAAGGCGGCCUUCUGGACUGACACUGACGCUGAGGUGCGAAAGCGUGGGUAGCAAACAGGAUUAGAUACCCCAGUAGUC
rnacentral:rRNA from 1 species